rnacentral:misc_RNA from 1 species
AAGUCGUAACAAGGUUUCCGUAGGUGAACCUGCGGAAGGAUCAUUAACACGUAUCCAACGUUAAAAACACCCCUGUGAACCCGUUAAUCUUGCUCCUCACGCCCUGCACGCCUAGCAAUCCCUGGUAAAUCAUUGUCUGAACAGAUUUUGAGUCAGGGACUUCUGACGUGACGCGAAGAAUGGUAUUGAUACUCCAUCUGCGUGGGAUGACAUGCGACGUAGCAAAUCACUUGGCUCCCCACUACUUCGGUACCCUCACAUCGGCACACCACCGAUGAUAUGUCGAUUUCGCGACUGGACUAAAAGCCUCGCACCAAAAACCGAACAACUGUUAACAAUGGAUAUUUUGGUUCUC